ensembl:antisense Fcnaos ficolin A, opposite strand
AUGUCCCAUCUCCUGCUGCCACAUGUGCAGGCAUAUGCAGGCCUGAACCCUGAGGUUCAUCGGAGUAGCCAGCUCUCUAACAGCAAUGGCUUCCCCCAUCUCCAACUGCAGCAAGCUGAGCACAGCCCAGGCGUGUUGUAUGCAGCAGGCGGCUUAUAAGUGUUGUAUCCAGCAGGCGGCUUAUAUUGCAGCAGCUUCUGGCUGAGUCUCCAGUUCCCAACUCCCUGCAGAGGCACGGGGACUCAUGCACAACUGCUUCUGGUUUUCUAUAUUCUCUCAGGGAAUCUGAAGUAUUGGCUACAGACCCAGGCUUGCCUGCCACUUCAAGGUGCAGAGUGCCUUUAUAAGCUGGCCCUGAGAAGUGUCCAGUGUGUAGCUUCCACUUGUGCAGCCGGAGCUGUCACCCUGGUCCGAUCAGUCUUGGAGUGUGCAUUCAAUAAACCAACCCUGUUUAACUGA